UGCGGAAGGAUCAUUUAAAUUCGAUCAUAAAAACAACACGCCAAGUAUGGUAACCAAAACUCUUCGGUACCAAAGAUCGAAGGGGGGGGAGGGGGUAGAAAGAGGAGGAGCCGGGGGAGAGUGCGUGGUGACACCACCGCAAAAUCUCCCCCCCGGUAGUAUUGCGGUCUCCUUCCGAGGAGUAACCCGUGCUGCCCCUUUUCAUUUUAUAAAUUUUUCUUUCUUCUUUCCUUCCCACCCUCGUUCUUAUCCAAACAAAACGCCAAAUCGUUUAAAAGUAAAAUAGAUAAGUCGUGGUCGCAACUGACCGCGCAAACUAAUCAAGUAAACUACCCCUAACAACGGAUGUCUUGGCUCUCGCAACWAUGAAGAACGCAGCGAAAUGCGAUAUGUAGUGUGAAUUGCAGAAUUACGUGAAUCAUCGAAUCUUUGAACGCAUAUGGCACCCGAGACUUCGGUCGAGGGUAUGUCUGCCUCAGAGUCGACGUUAACUAUCUCCCCCGGGAUCGAAAUCGAAAGUCCGGGCAGGAGGAACUGGUAUUCCCACCUUCGCGAGAUGGGUGGGUCUACCGAAGGACAGAGACGGAGGAUCGGUGGUGUCAAAACCCGCCGGGGAAACCACGAUUUGGUGGGAGGGAGACUCGCCCUCCGCAAGGGAGWWGCUUACGGGUYGUAUCCGCAUCUCUCGUCGKGGCGGUACCCGAUCGGGAGACGURCCAACCUCUCGCG
rnacentral:misc_RNA from 1 species